UUUGCUUAGCAACCGUGCCGCAAAGUGAAGCACUGCAGCGGUGAGUCAACCUGACGAGAGACGGAAGGACAGAUGAUGCUGUCAGUCUGAACAAGGUGAGAGACUGGAGCGAUUCAGGUGUGAAAGCCAUUGGUUUGUGUUAAGGUGAGGUCACAGAGGUCAGAUGCACAGUGAGAUUUGGCUGAUUUUGGAUAAGCAAUCUUUUUGGACCUUAUUAUCCUUGAGAAUGACUCAUUUGCAGGCACCUCAAAUGCUGCCAUACCGAAUUGUUUCGCAGUUUCACACUCUCCCACUUCUUCUUUACCCCAGUUCGCUCCCUCACUCCUCUGUUCUUGUUUCUGAAGCAUGAGACAUAUUAAUCAUUUCCUGGAGUGCAGCCAUUCACAAGGCAGGUCCGAGCUCCUGUGAUCUGAGUGAGUCUUAACUCACUUCCUGUGUCUGGUGCUGAGUGGGUGAGAGCCGUGUCACAGCACUGGAAACAGAAUGAGAAAGACAAAGAUGCAGAGAGAAUAUAAAUCUGCAUGACAGUCUGUAGCCGCGUGGGCUCACACAGAGACAGCGGCGGAUGAUUCAUAUCGGCUGGAGUGCUCCUUUUGUGAACUGCUGCCGCCACAUCUCUGCUGUAACAUGGCCUUCAUAGAAAUGAAGCCACGAAGGGCCUUGAAAUGGAUGGAAGCAACACAAACCGGGAGCUGUGAGCUCUGGGCUGACAUUCACGCAGUGAAUCUAUUCAUAGCCGAUGGAGAAACUCAAGAUAAUGUGGCAACGAGUCCUUCACGCUCGAAUCAACAGCACAUCUCAUCUCUGCAAACAGGAACGGAAGGAAUCUCGUGGAGUUUUAUCACGGAGAGACACGCGUGGGCUGAGCGACAGAAGUCCAGAAGCGAGUGAAAACACAAAAAGCUAAAGCUUUAUUUCCAAACAAAGCACUUCUAUGUGGCGCUUCUUGGAAGACAUUCCUCUCCAGCAUUCCAGAGCGUGUGGAGGUGGAGGUCUCGACCGCUGGCUCUGAGGAUAAUUAAGUUUGUAAUUUUUAAUGAAAUGUCCUACACCUACACACACUGGACGUCCUAAAACCUCUCUGUCUCGGUCUGCCUGACUACCUUUCUCUUCACACACAUAUAUAAAUUAUAUACAAUAUACAAAAAAUAAUUACAAUUGUCAUUAAUAUUAAUUAUUAUAAUGUAUAAUAUAUUUAAAAUAUACUUAACAGUUAUUAUUUAUUAUAUUACAUCAUAAUACAAUAGUAAUAAUACAUGUAAAACUAGUAAUAUAAUUCAUAUGAAUUACUAUUAAGGUAAUAUGUUUUCUCUACAUAUGAACCCCAUUAAUUUAUACAUAUAUCUAUAAAAGUAUACUUCAUACAAUAUUUAUGAAUAUGUUAAUAUACAUAUAUAUAUAUAUAUAUAUAUAUAUAUAUAUAUAUAUAUAUAUAUAUUAAUAUAAACAUAAACUGUUAUAAACUAUAACUAAGCUACACUACUUUAAUAAUCUUACAAUUAUACAUAUACUUGUUAGUAUAUUUUGUCAUUAUAAAUUAAAAUAAAUACAAAUUAAUAAUAAUAUAUUAUGUAAUAGAGAUUUUUUUAUUUAUUCUAUUUUUAGAAAAUGCAUUUAGACUACUUCAAAAGCUAAUAAAUUAAUUAAACUUUAAAUAAAGAAAGUAAGCUAAUAAAUAAAAUUAUCAAAUUAUCAAUUAUCAAAAAUUAUCAAAUUGCAUAUGUGUGUAUUAUAUAUCUAUAUGUAUGUAAUAAAUUCUUAUGUUUAAUGUUUAUAAAACCAAAUAACGUGUUUGAAAUGUAGAAAGAAUAUGUGAAUAUGUGUCUGACAUGAGAAAAUCUAUGAAUAAUAUAAAAAAUAUUAAUAAUAGAAAUAUUAUUAUGAACAUUAAUGUUUAUUAUGAAUUGUGUGUGUGUGUGUGUGUGUGUGUGUAUAGGUCUAUAUAUAUAAUGAUUUAAAAUGAUGUUAAAAAAAAAAAUAUUCUGGAUUCCCAACCAGUGUACACUAUACAUAUUAAAACUAUGCUAUGAAAAGUGAUUUUAAAAAAAGUAUCACCAUUACUGUCAUCUUCUAAGCAGUUCUGCAGCCUCUUCAUAUUCAGUGUGAGUUUGAGAUGGAGAGCAGGAGGUAAAGAGAUCACUUUGCCAGGGGUGAGUUCUCUCCCCACGCUGGCGGAAGUUCUUACUCUCCAUGUGGGUGGUUUGGAGAAGAGCCCGUAGCUGUUAAGUGUGAUAACAGCGUAUCCACUGUGCCCACUGUGCUGUUUACUCACAACACUCAAACUCUCUUCUGCCCUGUGCAUAACCUCCAGGAUGUUUAGUCUUAAUAAACUGUUUGUAAUGGAAGAAAAUAAAGAUGAGAUAAUAGAUAUACUACCAUAUUUCUUUUAAGUCAGUACACCACCACCAUGUUGACAGAAAAAGUAGAGCUGUUUCAGCUUUUAAUUGGUAUGUAUGUCUGCGGCUUGAGUUGCUCUCUUAAGCUUCUUUCCAGCACCUUUUCAUUUCAAGAGCAAUUUUAGCCAUAUCAGUUUCUUGAGGUGCUUUUUUGGAUUAAAAAUACUCUAGAUAGAUUUUUCAGAGCACCAUUUUAGAUUCUGAAGAACUGAUUUAGAAUUUUGGUUCUACUCUUACAAAUGAAUGUUCCAAAGUUAUGCCAUGGAACCAUUUUUAUUUCCUCAAUGAAUCUUUCAGUAAACAGCUCUAAAAGAAACAUUUUUCUUGUUGUGAAGAACAUCUAAAAUGAUUGUGUGGUUAUGCACCUGCCAGUUAAAAGUGACUGACAACAGACGAGGUCAUCUAGCCAGGGGUGUCCUUCACUACUGAAGCUCACAGGCACACGAAUGGAGAGUGCAGCUGGUGAGCAGGGAGGUGGUGGGCGGAUGAUGCCUGACGGGAGUACAGGAGGUGGGCUUCACAAGAGGGUAGUGUUGGGGUCACUGGAACUUGAGCACCGGAAAUUGCUGGGCAUGUUGGCAAAUCCUUCACAGCGCACUCUGUCACAAGAGGACGACAAGGACUGAAAUCUUUCACACAGGAUUAGCACACUGGCCAAGUAUAGUCACAGUCUGUUGGGUUUAUUUUCACUGCUUAAAAGACUUACAGACCUGUAACAGUUAUACGAGGACAAUACUUCUACACAUGUUGCCUUAAAAACCAUUGUGUCUUGGUCACUAAAUGCUAUUACAUGUAAUUGAAUAUUAAAAUAUAAAGUGUAAUAUAAUUACAUUUCAUUGUAUGUAUGUAUGUAUGUAUAUAUGUGUGUGCAAUAUAUAUAUAUAUAUAUAUAUAUAUAUAUAUAUAUAUAUAUAUAUAUAUAUAUUAUGGAUUAUAUAGAUUAUAUUAACUGUAUAUUAGCUAUGUUUAAAACUGAUUAAAAAGCUAUUACAAAAGCUGCUAUCUUUAUGGUAUUAGAAAUGAACAUAACAAAUAAUAAAUACAAAAUAAAUAUAAAACAUCAUAAAAUUUAAAUAAUACAUAAUGUGUAUAUUUAUAUUUAUUAAGCUAAGCUAUUGCAUUUAAUUGAAUAAUAUAUUAAUUUAUAUUCUAAAUUAUAAUCUAUCUGUCUGUCUGUCUAUCUAUCUAUCUAUCUAUCUAAUUUUUUAAAUAUUAAAAUCAAAAAUUUAUAUUAAUAAAUAUUAUAUAUAUAUAUAUAUAUAUAUAUAUAUAUAUAUAUAUCAUACAUUAACCUAAUUUUAAGUAUUAUGAAUACAUAUA
ensembl:lncRNA